GAUGAACGCUAGCGGCAGGCUUAACACAUGCAAGUCGAGGGGUAUAGGUUUUCGGACCUAGAGACCGGCGCACGGGUGCGUAACGCGUAUGCAAUCUACCUUUCACAGAGGGAUAGCCCAGAGAAAUUUGGAUUAAUACCUCAUAGUAUGUAUGAGUGGCAUCAUUUGUACAUUAAAGUCACAACGGUGAAAGAUGAGCAUGCGUCCCAUUAGCUAGUUGGUAUGGUAACGGCAUACCAAGGCUACGAUGGGUAGGGGUCCUGAGAGGGAGAUCCCCCACACUGGUACUGAGACACGGACCAGACUCCUACGGGAGGCAGCAGUGAGGAAUAUUGGUCAAUGGGCGCAAGCCUGAACCAGCCAUGCCGCGUGCAGGAUGACGGUCCUAUGGAUUGUAAACUGCUUUUGUACGGGAAGAAACACUCCUACGUGUAGGAACUUGACGGUACCGUAAGAAUAAGGAUCGGCUAGCUCCGUGCCAGCAGCCGCAGUAACAC
rnacentral:rRNA from 1 species